UAUGACAGUGACCAGUGUAAAUCAAUACAGUUGUAAUAAGAUGGACAAAAUUGUUGACAAAAGUCGCCCAGCAGGCAGCAGCUGAUGAGCUUAUUAUUCCCAAUAAUAAUUAAAUAAAAAAGUUUGACAAUAUUUCUCCAACAACAUACAACUGAAGCAAUACGAAAGUACCUAAGUAGAGGGGUAGCCGGGUAGGUACUAGGUACUACCUACAAUACUGAAACAAAAGAAAGUCGUCAAUAACUUUGUCGUGAUUCGUGACAAAACCCAUAAAUAUUAUUAUAAUUUAUAAUAUAUAUUUGAAUAUUUCCAUGGCAACAGACAAACUAUUAAGUGGUAAAUUUAAAUAAAAUAAAAAAUAAUUAUAAAAUAAAUAGUAACAUAAUAUGAAAUUCACCGAUGUAAGUUCCUAUUAACUAACAUUAGCCAAAUUCCACAACUGACUUCUGUUAUAAUAUACUAAUGUACAGUAAUAAUAUCAUUUAUAGGCUUAAAAUUGAUGUAAAAGAUAUUCUGGAGGAUCAAAAGUCGAGUAAUAGUCUUUUUUUCACGAAAAAUUCAUAAGCACAUCGGCCACCGACAUACUUAAUACUUAUUAGUUAAAUUAGUUAUUAUUAACUAAUAACUAUUAAGUAACAGUUAGCAACUUAGCCGGCGUUUUCAAUAUUUUCAUUCGCCUUAAUCCGUUUAUCAAUAACUGAGAAUUACUAUCAUUUAUCUAUGAAAUCCACGAGGACUAUCCCGCUGUCGUUAUCACAUAAUAUCUUUAUCUCCCGGACCAUGAAUAUUGAUAACAUUUGUCAUUUACCACCUUAGAUCAACAGUACAACAGUCAAUAAUAAAUUUUAUAAUAUGAUCUGAGUUCACCCCGGACACUAAUGAUGUAGUCGAUAUAGGUUCGCCAUCUGACGAUUCCGGGCAGAUCCACGCAUGAGACUUCACGUCUCGCGCUUACCAGUUCCGUCGAAUAUAUAUAAGAUUUUCAAGAAAGAAUUUGGAGUGUAUCGGUACGUAUCGGGUCAAUUUUGAGCGUUCAAGAUGUUACACGGGCAAUAUACAAGCGAUACGUACCGACCAGUAUAGGACUCGAACUCCGAUACGAGGUGGAACGUAACUAUUUCGUAUCGAUACGUAUCGAAUUUUUCUUCUUGAAAAUCUUGAUACUGUCCAUCGUGCGUUGACCGUCACUUUGUAGAGUGAUCGGUGACCAAUUCUGUGUAUAGCUGGCGAUCAGUUCCUACUUGGGCGCUAGAUGACGCUGCGGUAUAGAAAAUAUGUAAAAAUCCGAUAUGUGAACAAACGACGAAAUUCGAGGACCCGCGUGUGUUAUCUCCGUCGUACUAAUGCGGGACGUAGCAAAAACUGUUUUUGAGCGGAACAACUUUACUCCCUCUGUAUUCACAGAAGAAGAAUUACCAAAAUUGCAUAAAGCAUAUGGAAGAACUUAAGCGUUUUAAUUUUUUUGAUGGCACUAACCAAUAAUUUUCAAUAAGUAUAUGAAAAAAAGAACAAAACAAAACCUUUAUGUUCUCAAACUGAUGACUGUGAUUGUAUUUAUGUUAGCCAAAUAAAAUCUAAAAAUUGGAAUAUUGUAAUGUUAUGCUAAUAAUUAAUCGUUGAUGUAGCCAAUGCAUUUUUUGUAAUAAAAUUAGGUUAUUUCAACCUAAGAUAGUAUAUUA